UCUUGAAACACGGACCAAGGAGUCUAACAUGUGCGCGAGUCAUUGGGUUUUGAAAACCUAAAGGCGUAAUCAAAGUGAAAGGUGACUCUUUCGCUUGCCCGAGGGAGGAUGGGCACGUCAGCCGUCCGCCGGCGGUGCCCCGCACUCCCGGGGCGUUUCUCACUCAUCGCGAGUCGAGGCGCACCCAGAGCGUACACGUUAGGACCCGAAAGAUGGUGAACUAUGCCCGGCCAGGACGAAGCCAGGGGAAACCCUGGUGGAGGUCCGUAGCGAUUCUGACGUGCAAAUCGAUCGUCGGAGCUGGGUAUAGGGGCGAAAGACUAAUCGAACCAUCUAGUAGCUGGUUCCU
rnacentral:rRNA from 1 species